rnacentral:sRNA from 1 species
UUGGCAUCGAAUUUGA